rnacentral:rRNA from 1 species
UACGGGGGAUGCAAGCGUUAUCCGGAAUAAUUGGGCGUAAAGCGUCUGUAGGUGGUUUACCAAGUCUGUUGUUAAAAAUCAGGGCUUAACCCUGAUCCGGCAACAGAAACUAGUAGGCUGGAGUACGGUAGGGGCAGAGGGAAUUCUCGGUGUAGUGGUGAAAUACGUAGAUAUCGAGAAGAACACCAAUAGCGAAAGCACUCUGCUGGGCCGAAACUGACAUUGAGAGACGAAAGCUAGGGGAGCGAAAGGG